UUUCAUCUACAUUGGUAAAUUUAACAUUUCAGACACAUAAAAACAUAUUAUCAGCAACAUUUCUAAAUAUGAUUAUUCUGGUGAUAGAUGUUUAUUACAACAACAAAAAUUAGCCGGAAAACUAUCCCCCAAAUAGCCAUAGGACCAAAUAUGCUUAGACAGAGCAGGAGCCAGUAACAUCAACUACACUUUAUUCCGAUAAAUAUACUCUCCCCCGCAAUAAGCUAAGGCGUGAGGAAAAGCUUUAACACUGCUUUUUCAAGAUGUGUUUCUCAUGUAAAUACUCUGCUAAAAACAUAUCUACUAUAAUUUGGAUUCUAAUAAACUCCAACUAUAACUCAAACCCAUGCUUGUCAAUAGUUCGCCGGUCCAUUCGGAACAAUGAAGAAAACCAAUAAAAUGCCACUCUUAAGC
rnacentral:lncRNA from 1 species